rnacentral:rRNA from 1 species
CACGGGUGAGUAACACGUAUCCACCUGCCGUCUACUCUUGGCCAGCCUUCUGAAGGAAGAUUAAUCCAGGAUGGCAUCAUGAGUUCACAUGUCCGCAUGAUUAAAGGUAUUUUCCGGUAGACGAUGGGGAUGCGUUCCAUUAGAUAGUAGGCGGGGUAACGGCCCACCUAGUCAACGAUGGAUAGGGGUUCUGAGAGGAAGGUCCCCCACAUUGGAACUGAGACACGGUCCAA